AUGUACGACGCUCCGUCUGGGCAGGAGAUGUCCUACACGGACCAUGUUCAGAGGCGCCACGAGGAGAAGGGCUGCCUCUACGCAUGGCGAGACACACACAAACGUGUUCACGGCGCUGUGCUGCUUCUGCUGCUACGAGACGUGCGAGUGCUGCCUCGACUGCCUCUGCUGCUGCUGCAACUAGACCAGCCAUCCUCACCAUGGACGGAUGGACCGAGAAAGAUGCUGCGCGAGAUCGACCGGCCUCCACUACUGUUAAUUAUCCCCCAAAAAAAUUUACAAUUUCCUAAUAAGCUAGGAUGGUGCGGGGCCCCUAAACGCGUGGUGGCGCGGCCGAUCCAAUCUAUGCGGGGCGGCGGCGAUGGUUGCGGCAGGCGGCGGUGUGGUGGCCGGCCCUGCCUCGGGCAACAACAGCUGCAGAUGCAAAACCUUGUACCUGCAGACAGCUCUAUCCUAAACGUCGGAAGAUUACAUCCCAUGAGUGGGUGCCGUAGGAUGGCAACUGCGGGGACGACGCCAGCCUCCGCCGCCUCUCCCCCGCCCCCCGCAUCGCCCGCCGUGCCCGCCGGCGCGCCGUGCCUGGCCGGUGCGGCCGCCCUCCCCCUAUCUACUCGCCCCUCGCCCUCCUCCCCUACCUCGUCGCCUUCCCUCCUUUGCCCCGUCCGCCUCUGCAGCGACGCGCGCUUGCAGUUGGGCCGACUGGGCGGUGGAGGAGGACCGGUUGGACGCCGCCGCGGCUGCAGCCGGGCUGCCACGGCCUCCUCGCCACUUCGGUUACUAGUUGGCGGCGGCGGUGGCGGCCGCCGAGUCCGUCUCCGCCCCGGUGCCUUCCCCUCCCCUUCCCCUCCCCUUCCCCUCCCUCUACCUUUGCGGGUGCGGCCGGAGGCCCACCACGCACCACCUUCCCCCCCGCCACAGGGCGCUGGCCGUCCGGCUGGUCGUCAUGGCCGAGGGGCCCGAGCGCGAGCUUGGGGGGUGGCCGGUCGCUCGGAGUUGGGGCGAGCGGCGUUUUCAUGGCGCUCUUCCUCGUCGGUCUUCUCUUCGUUCACUCCGGCGUUGGUUGCGGGUGGCGUGACUGGCGCGGCCUCGACCGGGGUAGUCCCCUGCAGCCGCAAGUUUCGGCCUUUCCGGCCAUCGGCGUCUGCGGUGGGCGUUGCCCUGCCGCCGGCGGCGGCCUGGCCUCCUAGGGGGGAAACCCUAUUCCCUCCCCUCCCUCGGUCGGGUUGUGGGCUGGGCCUAGGUGGGCCGUCGACGCAGGUGGUUCGACCUUCGAGUAGCCCACUUUCUGGGCCUAUGGGGGGAGGCGGGGAUACUGGGCCGUCCUGGUCCUUUGCCGUUCGGCCUGCCCCUGCUGGGCUGCCUCUCUCCCUGGCCCAUGCGGUCACGCCGCUCUUAGAGCUCGCCCCUGCCCUCUCGCUAGGGCUCGACCCAUCUCCUUCCCUCCCCACCCCGACUCCCUCCUUCCCAUCUCCGCCGCGACCUCCUCCCUCCCCGCCCUCCGGCAUGCCCUCUCGGGUCCCUUCCGCCAUGGCUCGCGAGCAAGGCGACGACACCCCUCGGCCUAAGCGGCGUGCCGAUGGCCGCGACGGUGGGGCGGCCCAAGCCUCGCGCCGUCCCUUGCCGGGUGGGGCUCGCCAGGAGACCGAGCUCCGCGACUCGAUGCUCAAGGGCAAGGGGGCGGCGUCCACGUGUGAUGGGGGUUGGCGUGGUGCUGACCCACGGGACCGCUCGCCGGAGCAGUGGCACGGUCGCGGCCGCGACCGGGACCGCCAGUCUCCGCCUCGUCGUUCCCGCUCUCCGGCUUGUUCCGGCCGCUCUGAGGCAUCCCCCCUGCGGCGCUACGACCCCCCGCGUCGCCAGGCGCAAUUUCCACCGUCUGGCCCCAACAACCGCAAUGGGCGUGGUACCUUCGCGAAGAAGAAGAAGAAACGCGUAGCGAAUCUGCAAGCCGCGGCCGCGUUCGCCCCGGCAUCCUCCAUCUCCAACCCCCCCCCCCCCACUGUGCCGACAGCGGGAACUCCCCGUCCACCGGCCCCGGCGGUGACGUGCUUCAACUGUGGGGUGGAGGGGCAUUGCCAGAUGGAUCUCCCUGUGCCGGCGGCUUCCUCCUCCCUGACUGCUCUCAUCUUCGUCCUCGACGGCAAGACGGCGUCCCCGGAGAUCAUUGAUGAAGAGCUUCGCCACCUGUUCAAGCCGGAUUGGGACUGGGAGGUGGCUCCCAUUUCUGAUUGGGAGUUCACCGCAGUCUUCUCUGAUCCUGUCAGCCUCCGCUAUGGCACCCACAAUUCAUGGGCCAUCGCUCGUGUGGAGGGGGCUAUCCGGGGCAUGUCCCAGCUCCUGUGCAAGAUUGUGUCGAUUGACCCUCUCUCGCUGCUCAAGGGGCCGGCCGUCCGUGUCCAGCUCAAGACCCCGGACCCCUCCAAGCUCCAGAUGACCUUUCGGAUGUUCUUCAACGAUGCUGGUUACGUUCUCCACGUCUCCGUCGAAGAGCCGCUCUCCGCUCCCCCUGUGGACCCCAUGGAUUGCUCGGACCCGAAGGCCGACCUGGACCAUGAGGGCAAUGGCGGCCCCCCUUCUGGGCACGAGCAGCGCCGCCGUCUCCGGAGCCAUUCCCCGGCGUCGAAACGCUCGGAUGAAGCCUCUGAGGAUGACCGUGGCGCCUCGCCCCGGACUGGUGCGGCGGUCCCUCCGUCCCGCUCCAAGGCCAUCACCACGGUCCUCCCCACGGAUGCUUCGGGUGAGGGGGAGGAGGACAUCGCGGUGAUCGCUGCUAUGCUUGAUGAGGCGGCUACCUUACCUCCUGGCGCCAUCAUUCCAAUCUUCAUGGAGGCGCAGAUUUCCUCCUCUGAUGGUGGCGUCAGCGACACGAGUAGUGUGGGCAUGGAGGUGAUCCCGGCCUCUUCGCCCCGUCCCUCCUCUCCUGCCCCGCUUCAGGAUCCUUCUGGCGCCGUCCUCAUCGUGCCUCCGGCAUUGCUCGAGCUGUCUGGUCCGGUGCCGGCCUCGGGGCUUUCAGCGCGGGCCGCCCCUCCCCGCCCUCCCGCGGCCAAGCGGCGCCUGCGGUCGACGUCCACUCCGCCGUCGUCGGCUCGGAAGAGUGUGCGGCUCGGGUCGGCGACCCCCCUGGUGGGGCCUUCUCCCACCGCCGUGGAGAAGGCUUCCCGCCGUGCCGCGGCGCGGAACCUUGAUGCAGGUCCGUCUACCCAUCCUACACCGGCUCUCUUCUGCAAUGAUGAUGUGAUGAUUGAGGAUACUUCCUUUUUGGUCCUUGCCGGGGUUCCGCUGGGUCACUUAGCGAAAGUCGCGGCGGAUUCCACCAUAGUUUUCCCAGGGGAGAAAGGUCCCCCCUUAGAACAAAUUGCCUCCCUUCAGGCCAAGGAGAUCAUCGCCUCGGGACCCAGCCCCCGAGGAGGUCCGUGGCAGGACCCGUUCGCGGACAACUCAGUUACGUCGUGCCUUGAGUGCCAACUCCACAGUGGGGUCCCGGGAGGACCUUGUAGGCGAGUAGUUAUGCAUGCGUUAUUCUGGAACCUACGGGGUUUCGGCCAUGAUGGCCGCCGUAGGCAACUGAUUGAUUACAUCCGCGACGAGUCUGUGGAUGUGGUUGCGAUUCAGGAAACGAUGCGGGUGGAUUUUUCCUUGGCCGAGCUCGAGCGCUUGAGCCAUCACUUAUUCGCCUGGCACUGGUUGCCAUCUAGUGGCGUGGCCGGACACUCCGGUGGGAUCCUUCUGGGUGUGAAGGAUGCCACCUUCGAGGUGGGAUCCAUGGAUCGUGGAUCCCACUUUGUUAGUAUGGAGCUGUGGGAGCAUGAUGUUAACUUCAAUGGCAUCACCUAUCCAAGCGCUCUAGCUAGGCAAUUCAUGAAGGGAUGGGGUGCCAAUAUUGGGAGGGACCUUCGUGUCCAAAAGGCUACCCUUCUCGAAGAAAUCCGCGCGUUGGACCUGCGCGCUGAUACCUCAGGGAUCUCUGCAGAGGAAUGGGCAUAUAGGUACAACCUGGAAGAGUACCUCAUGGAGAUCUACUCCAAGGAGGAAGAAUUUUGGCGCCAACGUGGAUCUAUAAAGUGGGUGCUGUUUGGUGAUGCCAACACAACUUACUUCCAGGCGAUCGCCAAUGGCCGUAGGAGACGUUGCUCCAUCCCCCUUUUAUGGGAGGGCGGCCAGCCUUUUCAGGAUCCACUAGGGAUUCGCGCUUUGGUGGACGACUUUUAUAAGUCGUUAUUUAUGGACCGUGCCAGGGGCGGUCUCGCCCUGGCCGACCAUAUCUGGUCACAUGACCAACUAGUUUCCCCGGCGGAAAAUGCGGCGUUAAUGGCCCCAUUUGAUGCCGCGGAGACUGAGGAGGGCAGCCUAUGGCUGGAGAUUAUUCGCGCUAAGUACCUUCGUGGUCAACCAUUGGCCUUUGCCUCUAGGUCAGGCGGGUCCCAGUUCUGGCAAUCGGUGAUCUAUCUGAUGCCUGUGCUACACAUUGGGACCGCCAUCUCUGUAGGGUCCGGUGCUGGUACCCUCUUUUGGCUAGAUCGAUGGGCGGGGCCCCGCUCAUUUGCGGUGCGCUUCCCUUCAUUAUUUUCAAUCUGCACCCGCCCACUCUUAUCGGUGGCGGUUGCCUUAGCAGACUUGGGGGUUGUUACCUUCCACUGUACCUUUGGGGUGGCGGAACGCGAACAAUGGGACGAGCUAGUCAAAUGUAUUGCACUCCGCUCCCCCUCCCUCGAGCCGGAUACGCUAUCUUGGCAUCUUGAGCCAAAUGGCCGCUUCUCAACUAGGUCCCUUUAUCAGGCAAUUGUACCCACUUCGGGACCGGCGGAAUUAUCUGUUCUAUGGGAAAUCAAACUUCCCCUAAAGAUCUGCAUCUUCCUUUGGCAGUGGGUUCGAGGCCGACUUCCCUCGGGCACGGAGGUCCGCAAGCAUAGUGGCCCUGGGGAUGGCCUCUGCCCCCUCUGCUUGGUCCCCUCUGGAGACCGCUUAGCAAGCGGUGUGAUCGGGACACCCUUGACAACAUCAGUGCAGGCCUUCGAUCUUCGGCAGCAGCCCUUUCGCCAGCAUCUCCUCCACCGCCACCCCCACCCGAGCCGGAUUAGCUCCCUUUUUCUUUCUUCUUCUUUUUUGGGGCUUGUUUCGUUGUGCCCCCAGCAUGACUUGUUGACUUGUUUGAUACGGUCACUUCUUCGUAUCCAGACGUAUGGGGAAGUAUCUAGUGCUCCCAGGCUUGGGGUGCUCCCGGUGCUCCAAAUAUCCGAAAAACAUUUUUAA
rnacentral:rRNA from 1 species